GACGAACGCUGGCGGCGUGCUUAACACAUGCAAGUCGAACGGAAAGGCUCCAGCUUGCUGGAGUACUCGAGUGGCGAACGGGUGAGUAACACGUGGGUGAUCUGCCCUGCACUUCGGGAUAAGCCUGGGAAACUGGGUCUAAUACCGGAUAGGACCGCACUUUGGUGUGUGUGGUGGAAAGGUUUUUCUGGUGUGGGAUGAGCUCGCGGCCUAUCAGUUUGUUGGUGGGGUAAUGGCCUACCAAGACGGCGACGGGUAGCCGGCCUGAGAGGGUGGACGGUCACAUUGGGGCUGAGAUACGGCCCAGACUCCUACGGGAGGCAGCAGUGGGGAAUAUUGCACAAUGGGGGAAACCCUGAUGCAGCGACGCCGCGUGGGGGAUGAAGGCCUUCGGGUUGUAAACUCCUUUCGCUAGGGACGAAGCUUUUUGUGACGGUACCUGGAGAAGAAGCACCGGCUAACUACGUG
rnacentral:rRNA from 1 species